rnacentral:rRNA from 1 species
AUGGCUCAGAUUGAACGCUGGCGGAAUGCUUUACACAUGCAAGUCGAACGGCAGCACGGACUUCGGUCUGGUGGCGAGUGGCGAACGGGUGAGUAACAUAUCGGAACGUAUCCAAUAAUGGGGGAUAACUAAUCGAAAGGUUGGCUAAUACCGCAUACGCCCUGAGGGGGAAAGCUAGGGAUCUUCGGACCUGGCGUUAAUGGAGCGGCCGAUAUCUGAUUAGCUAGUUGGUGAGGUAAAGGCUCACCAAGGCGACGAUCAGUAGCUGGUCUGAGAGGACGACCAGCCACACUGGAACUGAGACACGGUCCAGACUCCUACGGGAGGCAGCAGUGGGGAAUUUUGGACAAUGGGCGCAAGCCUGAUCCAGCCAUUCCGCGUGAGUGAAGAAGGCCUUCGGGUUGUAAAGCUCUUUCGCAAGGGAAGAAAACUUAUCCUCUAACAUAGGAUGAGGUUGACGGUACCUUGAUAAGAAGCACCGGCUAACUACGUGCCAGCAGCCGCGGUAAUACGUAGGGUGCGAGCGUUAAUCGGAAUUACUGGGCGUAAAGCGUGCGCAG